CCUGUGUAUACUUUACGUCGCCCCACAUCGUCUCAAAUCACGGGCAGAGGCAUCGGUCCCGGAUGAAGUGCCUAAAAAUUUACUCAGCAGACGGGUGGCCCGCAUCAUGGUUUUCGAUGGCGUCUUCCAAUGUGAAUCAAAUCUGCACCUCGGAUAUUCACGAUGCAUUUACCCACGCUGAUUGCCUUGGCAGCAUCUCGAAACCUGCGAGCUGUAAACCAUUCUCGAAAAGUGCAGCAGCAGUUCAGUUUGCGCAGAUACCUUAUACAUCACACUCUGCGAUGCUGACCACUUGAGAUGAAUCUGAAGUGCGCAAGCUGCUCGGGUUGCAAAAUCUUCGCGAGUGACUGAGAGGUACAGUUGGAAAUCGGUAAUACAAAGAUCUAUAAAAAAUAUUGAACAAAUCCUGAAAAACUUUGAUUAUACCCUGGCUACUCGCCAGUAUACUCGCUGCAUAUUUAACCUCUAUUGCCAACUCGUGUCGCGGUGUGAAAAUGCCGAAAAUAACUGUAAUCGUGUUAUAUUUUUGUCGCGGUACUGAACUAGAAAAAACAAAGCUGAUAAGGAAAAAAAAAACCAAACAUAUAAUAACUCAACUACCUACGUUCACCCUUUUGGUAUCAUAUUUAUCUGUAUUGGAUUCUAGAUUACAGAAAUGAUCGAUGAAUCUUGUCCGAUGAAUUUAUGACUCUGUGACUUUCUAAAAUAUCGAGAUAAAGAUCUAACACAUGAACUAAUUGCAUGCCGCUGCACGCCCGCCCAGAUCUAUGUCUUGUCUUCCGAAAGGGCCAAUGGCAGUAUGUAAAGUUUCUGCGGUUUUUUUCUUUCUUGCGAAGCGUUUUCUGCCGUCCAAUGUUAUAAUAAAUAUAAGAAACGCGUUGCUUUCUGUAGAUUAAUUUUCGACGGUUGAACUUGAGGUAUUUUGGAUAUAAAUGGGACACGAACACUGCAGCUAAAAAAUUAUUGCAACCUUCCGAAGGAAUUUCAAUCGAGGACCUGCAUGAAUUCCGUAUACGGGAUGUGAGAGGAUACAAUAAUAAUGAGCGUCGACGAGGGGCGCGUCCGACCCCACGGAUGACAAUAAAUUAUGAAAUAAUUAAAGGGAGCAAAAAGAGAAUCACGUCGGAAGCCGAAUGUUGCCGCGGGUUAAAGGAUGUGUUAUAAUGCGUUUAUAAAGUGUAGAGCUGGAACGGCGAACCGGUUGUCCGUUCAACAUUGAUGGAUGUCCGCCGACCCAGAUAACACAGGGUUCCGGAUCAACUCCACCUCGUCAUUGUGACCCAUACAUCUCUCUCCACUGGAUGUGUUUAAUCGCUGCAAGAAACGGAGGCUCGCGAGUUUCGUGUACACGCCAUCGUCGAGGACAGAAUUGCUGCAGGCUCAGGAUUACAGAAUAAGACGGACGGACGAACAACUGGGCCGAAGCCUGAUGAACUGAGCGAUUGAACUGAAAACGGCGACACGGUCACUAGAUCUUUACGAGGCCUCUGACACCUCCGUUAUCCUAUGUCUCUUAUACGACUACCGGGUCGUCCGAUUAUUGUCGCAGUUCCACGAUGCGUAAGAACGUCUUUGUGAGAGCAGGAAUUAUCAUCGAAUCAGAGUUACGAAACUUGUAAUAUUUGUAAUUUUUGUAAUAUCGCGCAAUAUCGAGAACCCCAGAGAAGCCUGCGCACCGAUGCAAGUGCAUGGCAGGUGAGACCCAAAGUAUCGUUCCGAUUAUCAUCGACGCAACAUUAUACGUAUAUGUAUACAUCUGUACGGUUUAUCCAUGCACGUAAUUGUAAGUGAAAGGUACUUGGUGCGGAAUAAGUUUACAUCAAAUUACAAUUUCGAUAUGGGCGGGAUCGGUCGUCACGGUCAUUUCUGCACAGAAUUGCAAAUUCUUAUUAUAACGCAAAUCGAAAUUCUCAUUGAAACAAACAGUAAUGGUCGAGGAAUUUCGGUAUCUACUUUUUCUUUUCAAAAUUCUCAUUGUAAACUGGAACUCGGAUUCAUUGUUCCUUUAAGUUUACUCCUAAUUGAUUACCACAUUAUCAGUAAGAUUAAUUAUCGAUUCAAGGUUCGAUUUGUUUCGGUUUUAAAAACUCUUCAAUUACCGGAGCUUUGAGUAGAGACAAUCCGUGAGUCCUGUGAUCCUUGAACCCGCGACUACACCUCGCAGAUACACGUAAUGGACCGGAGACGAGAUCAGACUCGCAUUACUUCCGCAGCAAUUUAUUAAUCUUUUGCCAGAGUCAUCGGGUAUAUAGAGGUACUCGAACCUCGAGAGGGUACCAAUCAUGUAACGCGAUCCCUGUAAUCAUAUCUCCGUCUUAAUCCUACGUUAGAAAUUGUGUACAAGUACUCUGCACUCCGCAGCAAACCAGAAUGCUGCAACGAGCUCUUCCGUUGUCGAAUUUUUAAUUACGCGCCGAGUUUACGAUACAGCGACUAGCGCGAUCUCUUUGACCCGAAACCGUUACGCGCAGAUGAAAUCGUUGAGAAAAUCUGAGUUCAAUCUAUUACGGAUAUCGCCUCCGCAAGCGUAGAGCGGUUAUGGAUAUUACAUAGAAAUAUCUAUAAUCAAAGAACCGCUGCUUUUCUCGCCAUUGAGUCUGCAGCUGCCAUUAAAACUGGAGCAAUGAAUUGCGAAACACUUGAAAUACAAUUUAACGACGCGAUUUGCCAGCUCAUCCAAUUACACGCCAACUUAUCGCCGUCGCAGACCGUGUUUGUAGUAAAUUAUCUGACAAACAUGAUAGUUGGUGAUAAACAUAAAUCGUCAAUUGAUCGCGUCAAAGUUGAUUAUAUCGUUGUAGCCUUUAAAACUUACCCUUAACUAAAAAUUCCUCCUAUCGCUAAAUUAUACAUGCUAUUGUGUGAAUCGGUUGGUUACUUGCGUAAACAGUGACGCACUCGUAGUCUGGGUUUCGAACAUAAGCUGGCUGACAAUGUGCAAGCGCUGCAAGAAGGGCUGAGGGGUGCAGAGUACAACAAUCAUUCCAGAGUCGAAAAGGUUGCGCUCUUGUUUGAGCAUUAGUUUAAAUACACGAGGGGAUCCGUGAUUCAAAAUACAUAUUAAAAUUACUUGGAGUCUUUA
rnacentral:lncRNA from 1 species